CGCACUGGUCGUUUCCUUCGUCCAGUAGAAAGAGAGAGGAAGGAGGUCGCCAGAUACGCCCGCCCCGCUCCAACCCUCUUCUCCUCCUCACGCACGGCACCUCCUUUCUCCUCCCUCUCCCUCUCUCUCAGACCCACUGGCGGCGGAGACUGGAGGCACAACACUGCACGCGCCGGCCGGCGAGAGGAGCUGCGCUGCCGCCGGCGCACCGACUGCGUCUACUGCCUCGCCUCCCCGUUGACCUAAAGAAGGUAUAUUCCCACAUUGAACUAAAUUAUUGCUAUAUUCGGUUGAUUCAGACAUAUUGUAUCUUCAAUGGCUUUCACUGCUGGGCAAAAUCAAGCGAUGGAAGGCCUUGUGGUUGUCGUUCCCAUGGCUGUGCCGUUCACUUUUAUGCAGGGUUUAAAGUUUGAUGUAGGAUGGGCACACAAGUUUGAUGUUUGCAGUUACAGAUUUUUGUCAAAGCCCGCUGAAACGAAGUUUAGUUCAGCAAACCAUGUAUGUUGGAAGAAAGCAAAUUUCUUGCCUUCUGAAUCCUCCGUAGCCACCAUAUUUUAUUUCAGACCGAAUUGUCCCAGCUCAGUGUAUCUCAGUGAAGUAGCGGGUUCAUGCAAGGCCUGGCCGACGGCAACGACUUUAGGGGCUGCCGUGCUCUGCAUACUUCGUCUAGGUAAAUUGUGCUAGCUUUCAGAUUAUUCAUUUUCGUUUUACCCUAUCAAAGAUCUUCUCAGAUUAGUUAACCAGGCUAUGUAAUUAUGGUGUUGUGAUUCCGAGGGCUCCGUUGGAGGAUCAGCUUUGGUUCAGACUUCAGAGGCAGGUUUUGGGCAUACCGCAGCACAAGCAGAGGCAGAUCUCAGUCAAUGCUACUGCAGUUGAUGAUGCCCUGAAGCUUUCUUCAGUAACUGACUCAGCGUGCUGCUGUUCUCUAAGGUCGUUGAGUGCUGAGAACAGGCAAUAUAAUUAGGAUUUUAACGAGAAGUUGGAGGAGAUAAAAACUUUCAGGAAGUGUUUAGGCGAGUUCCAUGCCGAAAAUAAUGUUAUGUGAGCAGAGAGUGCAGGCUUGUGCUCUUCUGUUGAAGAGCUUGAGCAUGAGAGAUUGAAUCAACACAUAAGUCAUGAGAGCAUAUCUUUAGACGAGGAGAGGCGACUGGUCAAAGAAAUUAAGACCCUUGAAAAAACCAGACCGAGGGUCAGUUCCAAGGCUGCUAAGCAAGCUAAAAUGCAAGAUAUAGUGGUUGAGAGAGAUGCCAUACAGGAUCAGGUGAAAAUCAUCAUACAUGGACUAAAGGAGGGAAAAGCAGCCAGGUCUAAGAUUAAGGUCCUGGGCGAUAAGGCGAUGGGCGUGGAGAGCUGCUACGAGCUCGCGCAGGCGGCGUACUCAACCUCGUGCUGCACACGCUCAAGCACCUGGCGGCCGUCGUCAAUGGGCUCCUCGUCCAUGAUUACCUGGACAACAUGAACCUCGAGGAGGUUGUGAAGGGGAACAUCUGUGACGCCGUUCUUUAGAUAAUAAUAAUGGUGCAAUACUGCAUAGGAGGAAGUUGUUUGGGCCUUUUACUGAUGGAUAUAUUUAUUACUUUUGAUCCUCAUCAAUAAUCUCCAGGCCUUUGGGAGUUUGCUAGCAGUCCUGGUCAGACUUGGACCAGGGACUAGAGAGUUCCUGUUCUGCGCCUUAUGCGCCCGAACACCUCGCUGGCGCACACAGCCGCACCUUGUUGGGCCGGCCCAUGAAGGAGGAUCGCAGCGAGGUCGAAAAUUGCAAAAAAGUGCUUUCCAGGAUUCGAACUCAGGGGAGGAAGAUGGUGAAGCCAAAGAUGAGCAACUCUGAUUGGGGAACGACGACCGGCGAGCAGCAGCCCAUAGAGAUGGCCGGCUCCAUUCGACCAUGACGCGAGCGACUCCGGAGCUCCGGCCUGGCUGCUCCUUCCCCAUGCCUGUCCUACUCAUCCUCCCAUGCUUCUCCAGACCAAGCAUGAAGACCACACCAGCGAGGCUCUCUUAUGGCCGCGACCUGUGCCCGAUCAAGAAUCACGAUAUGUGGUGGCGCCGGAUCGAGAACGCAUGAGACGCUGUCCUGUGGGGAAGAGAAAGAGGUUAACAUGGUAUAAAAUAAAGUAGUCAUUUUUCAUGUAGUGAAACUUUAGUUUUGGGCAAGAUGAUCAAAAAUAAAAAUAUAACUAAUGCAACAGGAGAACCACAUAUGAAGUUAUCAUCAACUUAAGAUCUUGACCAUAAAAUUGAUUUUCUUUAGGCAUUGUACCACACGCAAGAUUGCCACAAAUCACAAUGAAAUGUGUGUACGAAUCUCUUGUUCGGUCCUAAAACUGGAUUUGUAAGUCAUGCAACUGAGCAUAGACUUUUUUGUGUGCGGGAGAACUGGACA